rnacentral:rRNA from 1 species
AACGAACGCCGGCGGCAUGCCUAACACAUGCAAGUCGAACGAGACCUUCGGGUCUAGUGGCGCACGGGUGCGUAACGCGUGGGAACCUGCCUUUAGGUUCGGAAUAACUCAGAGAAAUUUGAGCUAAUACCGGAUGAUGUCUUCGGACCAAAGAUUUAUCGCCUUUAGAUGGGCCCGCGUUGGAUUAGCUAGUUGGUGGGGUAAAGGCCUACCAAGGCGACGAUCCAUAGCUGGUCUGAGAGGAUGAUCAGCCACACUGGGACUGAGACACGGCCCAGACUCCUACGGGAGGCAGCAGUGGGGAAUAUUGGACAAUGGGCGAAAGCCUGAUCCAGCAAUGCCGCGUGAGUGAUGAAGGCCUUAGGGUUGUAAAGCUCUUUUACCCGAGAUGAUAAUGACAGUAUCGGGAGAAUAAGCUCCGGCUAACUCCGUG